rnacentral:rRNA from 1 species
UGGGGAAUAUUGCACAAUGGGCGCAAGCCUGAUGCAGCCAUGCCGCGUGUAUGAAGAAGGCCUUCGGGUUGUAAAGUACUUUCAGCGAGGAGGAAGGCGGUAAGGUUAAUAACCUUAUCGAUUGACGUUACUCGCAGAAGAAGCACCGGCUAACUCCGUGCCAGCAGCCGCGGUAAUACGGAGGGUGCAAGCGUUAAUCGGAAUUACUGGGCGUAAAGCGCACGCAGGCGGUCUGUCAAGUCGGAUGUGAAAUCCCCGGGCUCAACCUGGGAACUGCAUUCGAAACUGGCAGGCUAGAGUCUUGUAGAGGGGGGUAGAAUUCCAGGUGUAGCAGUGAAAUGCGUAGAGAUCUGGAGGAAUACCGGUGGCGAAGGCGGCCCCCUGGACAAAGACUGACGCUCAGGUGCGAAAGCGUGGGGAGCAAACA